rnacentral:rRNA from 1 species
AGUAAAUAGAUACCCGGGUAGUCCACGCCCUAAACGAUGUCAACUAGUUGUUGGGGGAGUAAAAUCCCUUAGUAACGCAGCUAAACGCGUGAAAGUUGACCGCCUGGGGAGUACGGUCGCAAGAUUAAAACUCAAAGGAAUUGACGGGGCCCGCACAAGCGGUGGAUUAUGUGGAUUAAUUCGGUGCAAACGCGAAAAACCUUACCUGGCCUUGACAUGCCACUAACGAAGCAGAGAUGCAUUAGGUGCCCGAAAGGGAAAGUGGACACAGGUGCUGCAUGGCUGUCGUCAGCUCGUGUCGUGAGAUGUUGGGUUAAGUCCCGCAACGAGCGCAACCCUUGCCAAUAAUUGCCAUCAUUCAGUUGGGCACUUUAUUGGGACUGCCGGUGACAAACCGGAGGAAGGUGGGGAUGACGUCAAGUCCUCAUGGCCCUUAUGGCCAGGGCUUCACACGUAAUACAAUGGUCGGUACAGAGGGUUGCCAACCCGCGAGGGGGAGCCAAUCCCAGAAAGCCGAUCGU